CAGGCUCAUAACCUGAAGGUCACAGGUUCAAAUCCUGUCCCCGCAA
rnacentral:tRNA from 3 species